GACGAACGCUGGCGGCGUGCUUAACACAUGCAAGUCGAACGGAAAGGCCCUGCUUUUGUGGGGUGCUCGAGUGGCGAACGGGUGAGUAACACGUGAGUAACCUGCCCUUGACUUUGGGAUAACUUCAGGAAACUGGGGCUAAUACCGGAUAGGAGCUCCUGCUGCAUGGUGGGGGUUGGAAAGUUUCGGCUGUUGGGGAUGGACUCGCGGCUUAUCAGCUUGUUGGUGGGGUAGUGGCUUACCAAGGCCUUGACGGGUAGCCGGCCUGAGAGGGUGACCGGCCACAUUGGGACUGAGAUACGGCCCAGACUCCUACGGGAGGCAGCAGUGGGGAAUAUUGCACAAUGGGCGGAAGCCUGAGGCAGCAACGCCGCGUGCGGGAUGACGGCCUUCGGGGUGUAAACCGCUGUCGCCUGUGACGAAGCGUGAGUGACGGUAAUGGGUAAAGAAGCACCGGCUAACUACGUG
rnacentral:rRNA from 1 species